rnacentral:rRNA from 1 species
CCUACGGGAGGCAGCAGUGGGGAAUUUUGGGCAAUGGGCGCAAGCCUGAUCCAGCCAUGCCGCGUGUGUGAAGAAGGCCUUCGGGUUGUAAAGCACUUUCGGCCGGAACGAAAUCGCCUUUGUUAAUAGCGAGGGUGGAUGACGGUACCGGAAGAGGAAGCACCGGCUAACUACGUGCCAGCAGCCGCGGUAAUACGUAGGGUGCGAGCGUUAAUCGGAAUUACUGGGCGUAAAGGGUGCGCAGGCGGCGUCGCAAGUCAGGCGUGAAAUCCCCGGGCUUAACCUGGGAACUGCACUUGAAACUACGAUGCUCGAGUAUGGCAGAGGGAGGUGGAAUUCCACGUGUAGCGGUGAAAUGCGUAGAGAUGUGGAGGAACACCGAUGGCGAAGGCAGCCUCCUGGGCCAAUACUGACGCUCAUGCACGAAAGCGUGGGGAGCAAACAGGAUUAGAUACCCUGGUAGUCCACGCCCUAAACGAUGAUGACUAGUUGUUGGAGGAGUUAAAUCCUUUAGUAACGCAGCUAACGCGAGAAGUCAUCCGCCUGGGGAGUACGGUCGCAAGAUUAAAACUC